GAAACAGAAGCUCUGGCAAUAGUCGGCUGCUUGCUCAAGGUGACACAGUUAAUGGAGAGGCAGAUCUCUGGAUGCGGCGUCUCAGGGGCCACGCCUGCCUCCCCCGCCGCCGCGUGCAUACACAGAAUUCCUCAUGCUGCUGCUAUCACGGAACUCAGGGUUCAUCUCAAAGAUCUCUCUUUGCAUAAUGUGUGUGUGGACCUGCCUACAGAUACAUUGGGUGGAAGCCCUAGGAGCCUCAAGCAAGUCUGAAGAUUGGCCCUGAGAACCACUGUUCUCAUUAUCAGCAAGGAUUUUAUCCAGAGACCUCUAGGAAUACAUUCACUAAAAUGUGACUGUGGUCCUGUGGUUGUAUGAACUCUGGCUCUUCUCGUGAAUUACAUUUCACUGGAGUCAGGUGUUUUCUGUAAACAUCGUUAAGCCACGAGACCAACUGCAUUGAA
rnacentral:lncRNA from 1 species